GUUAUGAAGAGAGUCGCCAGUUAAUUGAUUCACAAAUUAUUUAAAGUUUGUUGCACCCAAGGGAGUGCUCAGUUUCAUGACAGUCAUUUCUUAAAGUGUACAAACUCCUUUUUCACCUUAAGAAUGUCUUCAGUUAUUAAGCAUGAUAAAAUGCCAACAGUUUUCUGGGCCUAUGAGUAAUCUUAAUAUUUAUGAUUUAGAAUCUGUAGGUGAAUAUGUGGAGAUUAAGUCUGUGUUGGAAGGAGAAAAGUUAGCUAAAUUAUCAAUGAUUCUCAUGGCAACUUUUUUUCAUUGCUUUUGAGUUAGUAAUUUUAAGUAGUUUUCUAAACAUCACCUCGUAUCUUUUUUUUUUCCCAUGUGUGUAUUUGCUGUACAUGGAGCAUUAUGUUGAAAGACAAUAUAGGUAGCAUUUUAAAGAAAUUUUGAAUGGGUAAAUAACACAGUACAAAUUGUUUUGAUGAUUGGUGUCUGAAGCAUUUGGAUUUCU
rnacentral:lncRNA from 1 species